rnacentral:rRNA from 1 species
AUUGAACGCUGGCGGCAGGCCUAACAAAUGCAAGUCGAACGAGUGGCGGACGGGAGAGUAAUGUCUGGGAAACUGCCUGAUGGAGGGGGAUAACGACUGGAAACGGUAGCUAAUACCGCAUACCAUCAGAUGUGUCCAGAUGGGAUUAGCUUGUUGGUGGGGUAACGGCUCCACAAGGGGACGAUCCUUAGAUGGUCUGAGAGGAGGCCCAGCCACCAGGGAACUGGGACACGGUCCAGAAUCCUACGUGAGGCAGCAGUGGGUAAGAUGGCACAAUGGGCGCAAGCCUGAUGCAGCCAUGCCGCGUGUAUGAAGAAGGCCUUCGGGUUGUAAAGUACUUUCAGCGGGGAGGCGUUACCCGCAGAAUAAGCACCGGCUAACUCCGUGCCAGCCGCCGCGGUAAUUC